AGUGGCGCACGGGUGCGUAACGCGUGGGAAUCUGCCCUUAGGUUCGGAAUAACAGCUGGAAACGGCUGCUAAUACCGGAUGAUGACGAAAGUCCAAAGAUUUAUCGCCUGAGGAUGAGCCCGCGUUGGAUUAGGUAGUUGGUGGGGUAAAGGCCUACCAAGCCGACGAUCCAUAGCUGGUCUGAGAGGAUGAUCAGCCACACUGGGACUGAGACACGGCCCAGACUCCUACGGGAGGCAGCAGUGGGGAAUAUUGGACAAUGGGCGAAAGCCUGAUCCAGCAAUGCCGCGUGAGUGAUGAAGGCCCUAGGGUUGUAAAGCUCUUUUACCCGGGAAGAUAAUGACUGUACCGGGAGAAUAAGCCCCGGCUAACUCCGUGCCAGCAGCCGCGGUAAUACGGAGGGGGCUAGCGUUGUUCGGAAUUACUGGGCGUAAAGCGCACGUAGGCGGCUUUGUAAGUCAGAGGUGAAAGCCUGGAGCUCAACUCCAGAACUGCCUUUGAGACUGCAUCGCUUGAAUCCAGGAGAGGUCAGUGGAAUUCCGAGUGUAGAGGUGAAAUUCGUAGAUAUUCGGAAGAACACCAGUGGCGAAGGCGGCUGACUGGACUGGUAUUGACGCUGAGGUGCGAAAGCGUGGGGAGCAAACAG
rnacentral:rRNA from 1 species